UACGGAGGAUGCGAGCGUUAUCCGGAUUUAUUGGGUUUAAAGGGUGCGUAGGCGGACGCUUAAGUCAGCGGUAAAAUUGCGGGGCUCAACCUCGUUGAGCCGUUGAAACUGGGUGCCUUGAGUGGGCGAGAAGUACGCGGAAUGCGUGGUGUAGCGGUGAAAUGCAUAGAUACCACGCAGAACUCCGAUUGCGAAGGCAGCGUACCGGCGCCCAACUGACGCUGAAGCACGAAGGCGUGGGUAUCGAACAGG
rnacentral:rRNA from 1 species